AGGCGCGCGGCGCGGGCGGCGGCCGAAGGGCGCUCUGAACCCGGGAGGGUUUGAACGGCCGCGACUUCUAGGCCGCGGGGUGCGUGGAACCGCCUGGGUCGACAGCCCCGGGAUGUUUGCUUCCCGGCGCCGAGGGUCUGCGUCGUGGCGCACCGCCCUCUCGGAUCCCGCUGUGGGAGUGGGGACCCCGGAAGUCGGGUGAGGCGGCUGCCUCACGGCUCGUCCCGGAGGCUGAAGGCGCGGGCGGGGUGCACCGAGCCGGCCCCAAGGUGCGCGCACAGCCGGACUGGAAACCGCAAGCCCCGGAUCCGGCCUCGGGUUCUGCUGUCGGAUUGGCCUUGUGUCCCUGGACGAGGAGUUUGCAGUUUGUCCAUCCGUGGAGCGGGGCUAGGGCUUGCCGCGUUCGCCCUGCAGGGUUGAGUUAUUUUUGAACAUGAGGCAACAAGUAAGCUGUAGAAGCAUAUCUGUGGUUUUUUGGUUCCAGUCGCAGUGGCGAGAAAUGAAUUCGGGAACCAUUGGAAGAGGUUCGUUGACCUGAGAGAGCUGAAAUGGACUGAUCGCUUUAAAAACUAAGCAGCGAGAUUUAUUUUUUUUUUAAGAUUUUAUUUGUUUAUUCAUUCAUGAGAGACACUGAGAGGCAGAGGGAGAAGCAGGCUCCAUGCAGGGAGCCCGACGUGGGACUGGAUCCUGGGUCUUCAGGUCACGCCCUGGGCUGAAGGCUGCGCUAAUCCGCAGAGCCAUCCAGGCUGCCCUAAGCAGCAAGAUUUUACCGCAGGUUGCAACUACGAUUAACUGACUCGCUUUAAUUUAGUACUUCUAAUUCGCAUAGUUACCCCAAGAUCAGUCUUUUUCUUUUUCUUUUCUUUUUUUUAUGAUUUUAUUUGUUUAUCCGUGAGAAACACACACACACACACAGAGGCAGAGACACAGGCAGAGGGAGAAGCAGGCUCCAUGCAGGGAGACCCACGUGGGACUCUAUCUGGGGUCCCCAGGGUCACACCCUGAGCUGAAGGCAGACGUUUUAACCGUUGAGCCCCCCAGGCGUCCCCCAAACUCAGUCUUUUGUGAAAUUACUUUUUAUGAUUUUGGAAAGUCAUGAGUUGAAAUGAAAAAAAAAAACAUUUAGCAAAUUUUUACAGACCUUAUGCAUGUUAGAUGUUCAAAGAUCACAUAUAAUCAAUGACAUUAAGUUGCUUGCCUCCUAAAAGGAAGAAUAAAGUAACUUUUUUCUUGCCACUCAUUUGUGUGAGAAACUUUCUCCCUCUUACCUGCUGCCAAACUGUAAUUUCUACUUGGAGAAAGCGGGAGGAUAUACUUUGUCAGUGUAAACCAGAAAUAGAAAGUUUUUAAAGACCUAAUGUCCCUGCUUUUGAAACCUGUUUCAAAAGGGUCCUUUUAAACAUUAGACUUUGUUUUGGCUUAAGAUCACAUACUGGCAGGAGCCCUCAUGUGUGAAAAUUUGCAAAUGGUUAAUACAGUUUCAUGCUUUCAAAAUGUUACGUGCCUGUCAUAAAAAUUAAGUGACAGGAAUUUAAUAUGAGAAGAACAUGAUUUAAAUGUGAUUCAGAAAUAGUUAAGAUUACUAAUCAGUGAAACGAAGGGGGGAAAGAUGGAAGUAGGCUCAAGUAAUAGAGAAUGAAGCUGCCUGAUAGGAAGUUUUGAAGAAAUGUUCAGAUUAAUGUGAGGAUCCCCUUAUUGCUCAUUAUAAUCCCUACCUCAGUGACUACGGAUGCAUCUCUCUUCCUUGUGCCUGAUAAGUCUAAAUUCAGCAGCAUCCCCACACACAAUAGUAGGGCCUUAAAACUAUGCAGGCAGCCUGGAGAGUUCUGAAAAACCGUGGGAGGUGAAGGAGCAUUGGUGGCUUCUUGUUCUUCACGGUGAUGCACUCUGUCUAAAGGAGCCGCCAGAGAGACAGUGCGGACACUGGAGAAUGUGAAGGGAAGAGGAGACAGUGUAAUGUGUUACCUAGGGAGAGGAAUAGGGAUUUCAGGGAAUUGUGAGAGUAUAUGGCAUAUUUGUCCAGUUAUUGAAACUUAACCAUCAAGCUUCUCUUGGGUCAAACUGACUAUGAAAUAUAGUAAGGGUAAGUCUCCUAAUUAGGAUGUUAUUAAAAAAAAAAAGACGGAGAUCAAAUGAAGGAUGAUUCCUCAUUCAGCCACCUUUAUGUUUCCUGAAAGCAGGCACCCCUCUCUGAGACAUAAAUAGUUGAGUAAAUGAAACAAAUGCAUGAGUAGAUUCUGGCAUACCUGUUUAAGAUGGCCCUAUUAGCUAAUUGACUGCAGAAAAACCAGGAAAUAAGCUGAGUGGAUAUCCUUUCAUAAACCCUACUGGCUGAGAGGCAACAGACUGAUGUAGUUAAAGCAUGGGCUUUGGCUCUUACGAGAUCUAGAAUUCAGAUCCUACAUCUGGAAAUCAGAUUGCUCUUAUUCUUGAUUUUGCUAUUUAAUCUCUUAAAGCUUUGAUUAAUCAUCUGAUUAUGAAGAAUAUUGUCUGUUUCAUAGAAUCAUUAUAAGGCUAAAGCUGAAGUGCUUACCAUAGUGCCUAAUUCAAAGUACACACUCCAUGAAUAGUGGCAAUUAUUAUUUUUAUUAGCAAUAAUAGUAGUUAUUUUUACAACUGUUACUCUCUCACACUUGUUUUAUCAUGAUCAGGGUAAAGAGAAAGUUGAAAACAUUCUUUGCUAACGAUGGCAUAAUUUUCCUGCACAGACUGGUUCUGCCUGGGUCAUGCCUUGUUUUAGGGAUUGCAGUUUGAGAGGUUGUUCUGAACUCUCCUUGCCCCUGAGUUUUGACUUGCCAAAUUUAUGCUUAUUGUCCUGUUCCCUAGUUAUAUCAAGACAUCGGGCCUCCUACACUGGAUUUCUACCUUCAUUCCAGCUUCCUUUAGAUUCCAGUAGGUGUUCUGAGGCACUGCUUUCAUUAUUUCAAUAUAUCUCUCUCCUCCCCUGUCUCCAUGUUUCCUCACUAGUUAUCAGAUGAAGGUGAGUUCCUUAGCCUGGCUUGCAUGGUUUUGAGUUCUUUCCACUACUGAAUCCCUCUCAAUUUGGCUUGUCCAGUUUGGCCUGGAUGGUUAAAAGUUCUGCCAUCUUCUGGAGCAACUGGAUGGCUCAGUUGGUUGGGUUGUUUGCCUUUGGUUCAGGUCAUGAUCCCGGGGUCCUGAGAUGGUGCCCUGUGCUGGGCUCCUUGCUCAGUGGGGAGCCUGCUCUUGCCUCUCCCUCUGCCUGCCACUCUCCCUACUUGUGCUUGUGCUCCCUCUCAAAUAAAUAAAUAAAAUCUUUAAAUAAAUAAAGUUCUGCCAUCUUUCUACCAACUGUA